rnacentral:misc_RNA from 1 species
GACGUCAUCAAAAUGUCCACGUGACCUAGCGUGCGUGGCACAGAACAAACAUGGCGGCCUCUACUGCACAAUCAUGUCCUCGCCGAGUGGCUCUUAUAACUGGAAUCACCGGACAGGAUGGUUCCUACCUGGCUGAGCUGCUGCUCAACAAAGGUUAUGAGGUCCAUGGGAUUAUCAGAAGAGCUAGUACUUUUAAUACAGGCCGCAUUGAACAUUUAUAUGCAGAUCCAAAGUCACACCGAGAAGGAUACACCACAUGUGCAAUGCAUUUGCAUUAUGGGGACAUGACUGACAGCACAUGUUUGGUGAAGAUUGUCAGUCAAGUGCAACCUACAGAGGUCUACAACCUGGCUGCCCAAAGCCAUGUCAAGGUGUCCUUUGAGUUGGCUGAAUAUACAGCAGAUGUUGAUGCUACAGGGACACUGAGAUUAUUAGAUGCCAUCAGAACUUGUGGACUCACUGAUCAGGUUCGAUUCUAUCAGGCUUCAACCAGUGAACUGUAUGGCAAAGUGCAGGAAAUCCCUCAAUCAGAAAAAACACCAUUUUAUCCACGAUCUCCAUAUGGAGUUGCAAAGUUAUAUGCUUACUGGAUUGUGAUCAACUACAGGGAAGCUUACAAUAUGUUUGCCUGUAAUGGCAUCCUUUUUAACCAUGAAAGUCCUCGAAGAGGUGAAACCUUUGUGACCCGUAAAAUUACAAGAGCUGUGGCCAAAAUCUUCUUGGGCCAGCAGAAGGAGAUUCAGCUUGGUAAUCUGGAUGCUAAGCGAGACUGGGGUCAUGCAAAAGAUUAUGUUGAAGCUAUGUGGCUCAUUUUGCAGCAGGAAAAUCCAGACGACUUCGUCAUCUCUACCAAUGAAACACACAGUGUCAGAGAAUUUGUUGAAAAGGCCUUCAGAAUUGUCAAAAUAGAUAUUGAGUGGGAGGGCAAAGGUGUCAACGAAGUAGGGAAGAACAAAGAAACUGGCGCGAUCUUGGUGCGAGUAAACCCUAAGUUCUACCGUCCUACAGAAGUGGAAAUUCUGCAUGGAGACUGUACAAAAGCACAGGAGAAACUUGGCUGGAAGAAAACAUAUUCCUUUGACACGCUAGUUCAAGAGAUGGUCGAGUCGGACGUGGCGCUCAUGCGGACAAACCCUUGGCUUAAGUUUUGUCUGAGACGUUGACAAGAAAUGUACUGGCUGUGUCGACCAUCUGUACACAUUCCAUGAAAGGAGCAGGAGUCAUUUUAUUCUCAUUGUGUUUUGUAGUGAGGAGUUUUCACGAACUGCCUUGUGAGGACUGUAGAGUGGAGCAUAAUUUACUAAUGAAAGGAAACUUGACACGCUGUGUGCACACUAAGGAAAACAUUCGUUUACUUAAGGGGCCAAUAACAAUGGCGGCCUGCAGGGUGUUAGUGUUGCAGAUCAUUUGUACGUACCUACACGUACUUAAGUAUUUUAACAGGGUGAUUCACGAGUCUUACCAAGUUGAUUUUUCCUGUAAAAGCUGGAUACAAAAGUAGAGGAAACAAAAAUAAAUAGAAGAAAGAAAUAAUUUUAGAAAAAGAGGUAUGGAAGUCACAGUGUAUUUUAUUGUCCGAGUCAGUUUUAUGAAAAAUCUAAAAGCUUAUGUCACUUGCAGUUAAGAUUCCUGCGUUGUAAGAGGUAAGUCUCUGCGUCUGUAUUCCUGCAGUUGAGGAACUGCAUUGUGGGUUACUCUUGCGGGCGUCUUUUAAAUCGGGUUUCAAGCUGUCUUAUUGCUGCCUUAGCCUGUCUUGGCUAACCUUUUGUCUGACAGACAUUAACUACAGCUUGCGUCUGUCUGGGCUAACGAACUGCGAAAUCAAUCAUGUUAUAGUUUGCUGAGCAGGUUAAAGUCCCAUCUUAACCGCAUAAAGCUGUCGUUCUCGUGGUGAUCGGGGCGCACAGCAUUUCUUUUAAAGGCCUUCAAAGUGCAGUUUGCUUGCUCAGUACUGGAGUUAAGGAUUAGAGUCGGUAACUCCGUUGCAUUCGCUGCUGAGUAGUGUUGUGAAGUACUUUUCUCGUAAAGAAGUUUAGGUAAUACUUUUAUUAAAAAUGUAAAUAUUUUAUGCUUAGUUUGUACUUCACAAAUGUACAAGCUGCUGGUUUCCAUCGAACGAGAAAAAAUGAAACUUACAGAAAAUUUGUAAAAUUUUUAAAUGGUCCCAAGAAUUUUUUUUUAUAAAAUCCUUAUUUCAAUCGGUGUGCUUGUAUAUAUUGCCUAUGUGUCGCUAUUGAAAAUAUCGUUUAUGGGAAUCUCGCUGCUUUUACAUUGUGUGCUCUCCUGAUAGAAAGGCAUGUUAACAUACUAACGCCAUUCCCUGUAUGCAUGCGUGCGUGUUUGUUUGUACGUUCAGACGACGCAUUUAUGCGCAGGAAGGUAAAGUGGAGCAGUUGCAAUAAAGCCGCGUGUUAAGGCGCGUUCAUGUGCACGUUCUUAUACACGCAAGGUAUCUUUGCCUGGCUUCAUCAAGGAGUGAUUUGUCAUGAGCUUGGGCUUGUGCGAUGUUAGGACUCUCUUGACUGACGAACAACUCUGUGUUCUUGUUGCUGAAUGGUGAGCAUCUACCAGUUAAUUGCUUUAACCAUGUGACGACACUGCUGGCAACACUACAGUGGCCUUAAGCUUGCUUAUGGCAUUACUGCUCUCGUCACACAUAAUCCGCACCAUCAACAAACAAACGAUGGAUUUUGAGGCUCUGUACCCUGGUUCGUUUACAACUGUUAAGUAUGGGAGAAAAGAUCUCGUAGCAAACCAUGAUUGGGUGUUCCAGUUUCUUCUGUUUUUGCAUGUUUCUGGGCGUUCAUGUUUGGAAGUUUUUAUAUUUUUCCACGGGGGAUAAUUGUUUUGUUUUAAAUGUUUUAUAAAAUGUUUUUAAUAUAUAGAGUUAAGUAUUUAUCACAAAUACAGCCAUGAAUUUUUCCAAGUCAUUUUACUUGAUAUUUUUGUCAGACACGUCGUUUUAAAUAAGUUUUUUGCGUGGAUUUCUUGCAACACAAGGUACAUAACCUUCGGGCAUGCCCGCAGUGGGGCAUCUGGCAUGCAGAAAGCAUUAACAGUGAUACAGGUGUUUGCGAGGUGUCAAAUGAUGGGAUACAGCUGCCACGUCAACAUAGUCGGCCACCACGAUGAUGGUGCACCCGUCCUUGCGUGUACCCUGCCACUUGGGUUAGGUUGAGAAUGUUUUCGGCAUCUUACCAUUUGGUAUGAGUUUAAUAGAAUAGGUUAACACUACAGUGCUAGGUUGUAUUACUACUAGUUAAUAGUAGCACACGUCACAACACUACAAUACUAGGUUGUAUUACUAACAUAACACUACAGUAGUAGGUUGUAUUGCUAACAUAACACUACAGUACUAGGUUGUAUUACUAACAUAACACUACAGUACUAGGUUGUAUUGCUAACAUAAUUACACUACAGUACUAGGUUGUAUUGCUAACAUAACACUACAGUACUAGGUUGUAUUGCUAACAUAACACUACAGUACUAGGUUGUAUUACUAACAUUAAUUACACUACAGUACUAGGUUGUAUUGCUAACAUAACACUACAGUUUGUAUUACUAAUUAGUAGUACUCGUCAUAACAAAAGGUGUAGACGAAAGGCGAUUAUACUUCAUAAGUUGGUAUCUCUCUGUACCAGUACAUUAUGGAUUAGACUUGUCUUCCCAUACCUACAAGUAUUAUAUAUAAAUAAUUAUAUAAUACUGCUUCCCACCCAAGAUAAGCGAGAAAUGAUGUUCAAAGUGUGAGUAGAAAAUAUCGGCUGUGUAAUUAUCAUUAGGUUUUCCUGGAAACACUGUAUUAAGCGGGGGUGAUGUUUCUGUUAGUUGCAUAUCAUUUUCACGUUGGGAUUUUCCAUUUUAUAUGUGCCGUGGUUUGCUGGAGAGUUGCUAUUGCACGGAGGUUUACUGAUGUAAAAUAAAGUGGGUGAUACUAUUA